GAUGAACGCUGGCGGCGUGCUUAACACAUGCAAGUCGAACGGAAAGGCCCAAGCUUGCUUGGGUACUCGAGUGGCGAACGGGUGAGUAACACGUGGGUGACCUGCCCUGCACUUCGGGAUAAGCCUGGGAAACUGGGUCUAAUACCGGAUAGGACCACUUCGUAGUUGGUGUGGUGGAAAGUGUUUCCGGGGUGGGAUGAGCUCGCGGCCUAUCAGCUUGUUGGUGGGGUAUUGGCCUACCAAGGCGUCGUCGGGUAGCCGGCCUGGGAGGGUGUACGGCCACAGUGGGACUGAGCUACGGCCCAGCCUCCUGCGGGAGGCAGCAGUGAGGAAUAUUGCACGAUGGGCGGAAGCCUGAUGCAGCGCCGCCGGGUGGGGGAUGACGGCCUUCGGGUUGUAAGCUCCUUUCGGCAAAGACGAGUUUGGGACGGUAUUUGGAGAAGAAGCACCGGCUAACUACGUG
rnacentral:rRNA from 1 species